CGUCGCCAGGUGAUGACGUUCUUCACCGAAACGAUCCUCUGACCGUCGCUUCCCCUUCUCGACAUGAGGGCAAAGUGGAGAAAGAAGCGCAUGCGCAGACUGAAGCGUAAGAGGAGGAAGAUGAGGCAGAGGUCCAAGUAAGCUGUCCUCUCCGCCGUGGCUGUGACUACACAUGUUGCCUACAACCAGACCGGUGAGCCCAGCUCCAGACCCAGAUCCAGGACCCUCCCGGUGUCAAGUCUGUCAGUGGCACCCAUGUCAACGUGAGGGAGCGGCGCUGCAGCAGCUGAUUGAAUUUUGGAGAACUUAUUCAAGACCUGCUCGAUGACAGGCUUUUCCUCGGACAUUCUGGACUUUUAGUUAUUAGUUCCUCAACUUUUGUCUUUUGUUUAAACUGUGAUUAAAGGUUAUGGUUUCUAAAUA